ACCGAAAUAGCUCAGUUGGGAGAGCGUUAGACUAUAGAUCGAAAGGUCCCUGGUUCGAUCCCUGGAUUCGGCA
rnacentral:tRNA from 1 species